rnacentral:rRNA from 1 species
UACGUAGGGGGCAAGCGUUGUCCGGAAUCAUUGGGCGUAAAGAGCGUGUAGGCGGUCCGGUAAGUCGGCUGUGAAAGUCCAGGGCUCAACCCUGGGAUGCCGGUCGAUACUGCCGGACUAGAGUUCGGAAGAGGCGAGUGGAAUUCCCGGUGUAGCGGUGAAAUGCGCAGAUAUCGGGAGGAACACCUAUGGCGAAGGCAGCUCGCUGGGACGUUACUGACGCUGACACGCGAAAGCGUGGGGAGCAAACAGG